GUGCUUGGUUCGGCAGCACAUAUACUAAAAUUGGAAUGAUACAGAGAUUAGCAUGGCCCCUACGCAAGGAUGACACGCAAAUUCGUGAAGUGUUCCAUAUUUUU
rnacentral:snRNA from 1 species